CUGGGUUUAACGCUUUCUAUAUUUAUUUUCUUUCUUUCUUUCUAUCGAUUUAUUUAUUUAUAAAACAUUGCAUUCUUUGAUGACCUUUGAAUAAACUCAUACGAUUGCUUUGCUGUUUCAUAUAAUCAUCCCGUCUAAGCUUUCUAAGAAUCACUCUUUUUUAUGUUGGUUAAUAUUCCGUAUCAACUUCACAAAUGAUACACAAGUUUUGAAGUAUAUAUUCCAGGUCCUAGUGUUCUUUUAUGUAUCUUUGUAAAAAAAAGUAUUACUCUUACUGUUAAGUCUAAUUUUGUUAAUAUCCAUUUGACGUGGCUCGUUGCUUAUAGUAAAUGUAUUAUUGUGAUAAAGUUUUUUUUUUAUAUAUUGUCUUUUGUAUUGCUGGUAAGCCUUGUUUACAUGCCUUUCUGAUUUCUUUGUUGACAUAUUUGUUUUUUUUUUAUAUUUAUUAAGAUUAUAACUCAAAAUUGACUGCUGUAUCCCUAUUUUUGCCAUUUGUUCCUACUAUGUCUAUUUGUUCUGCUCACACAUUGUUGUCAAUAUAAUGGAAUUAAGUGCGACUGUCAUAUAAGUGAGAGGUUUAGAUAGCUUUCAAACAAGGUUCAAUCCACCAUUUUCUACAAAUAUAAAUGCCGGGACCAAGUUAGGAAUCUAACAGAAUCUUAUCCCUUCUUUUUAUGUGUUUAAACUUUUAAUUUUGCCAUUUGAUUAGGGUCUUUCCGUUUUUAAUUUCCUCGAUUUUCGGUAUUUUAUUUGUUUUCUUUUUUAUGUUUUCCAUUACAACAUAUGAAUAUAGUAUGUUGAAUUUUAUGUAAUAAUCGUAACUUUCUUCUAACACAUAAAAGUUCGUUAUAAAUAUUUAUAUUACUAUUUAAGACCGAAAGAAGUAUAACUAUUCUAACAGCCUCAUGCUUCAAUCGCUCUAUUCUGUUGCAAUAACCCACACUCAUAUUAUUCAAAACCUUACAAGCAUAUUCAAAUCUAGUAUCGUCCUUACUAAAUCAAGCACAAUUUGGCCUCUCUAGUCCAUCAGUUAAACCCUAUUUAAAAUCCACCUUCGAUCAGAAUAGAGACGUUCUAUCUGAUGUGAUUCAAAUCUAUAUCAUAUUUUCUUUGUUUAGUGAACUACAAUUUCCUCUUUUUCUGUUUAACUCGGUUUCUUUCUCAGGAAAAUUUUAACAUCAAGGACAUAUUAAUUAAAAUGAAAUU
rnacentral:lncRNA from 1 species